AUGUAUAUAAGCUGGAAUUUAGUAUUGCCAAAAUUANAUUGCUAAUUGAAAACUUUUUCCAAUACCCGGCCUUGAUGACCUGCAAUAUAAGCAACACUGGCAAUUUUUGACAGUCUCUAUAGAGA
rnacentral:snRNA from 1 species